CAUAUGUGCCAUGGAGAUAGGGAUGUCUAUGGGUAUGGAUAUCCGAAAUUUUAUUCUAACAGGAACCCGAAUAAAACAGAUAUAUCCGAUGUUAAAUGAAUAUGGAUUUGAAUAUAAAUUUCAAAAAUAGAAACCCGACGGAAAUGAAUUUUGACUGUACCCGACCCGAACCCGAACCCGAACCCGACCCAAACCCGAAUUUAUAUUGUAUUAUAUAUAAUAUAUAUAUAAAAAUUUGAUAUUAUAUUUCAAAUUAUAUUUUAAAAUUUUAGAUUUUUUGAAAUAUUGAAAAAGAAAUAACUGUUUCGGGUUCAAAUUUUCGGGUUCGGAUUCGGGUUUGGGUUUGGAUAUGGAUUUUUAAAAUCCGUUCGGCUCGGGUUCGGAUUCAGGUUUCGGGUUUGGAGUCGGGUUCAGAUUCGGAUUUUUGAAAAUCCGCACCAAAUCCGACCCAUUGACAUCUCUACAUGGAGAAAUGGAGGGACAAAAAAGCUUAUUUUGUUAACAAAAAGAG
rnacentral:lncRNA from 1 species